rnacentral:tRNA from 1 species
CAAAAGGUAGUUUAGUUUAGAAUACUAGCUUUGGGAGCUAGUGGCGGGUGUUAAAUUCCCUCCUUUUUGA